rnacentral:rRNA from 1 species
ACACGUAGGGGGCGAGCGUUGUUCGGAAUCAUUGGGCGUAAAGGGCGCGCAGGCGGCGAGGCAAGUCCGGUGUGAAAGUGCUCGGCUCAACCGAGUGAUGCGCUGGAAACUGCCCUGCUUGAGUACAGGAGGGGACGUCGGAAUUCCAGGUGUAGGGGUGAAAUCUGUAGAUAUCUGGAAGAACACCGGUGGCGAAGGCGGACGUCUGGCCAUGUACUGACGCUGAGGCGCGAAGGUGCGGGGAGCGAACAGGUUUAGAUGCCCUGGUAGUCCGCACAGUAAACGAUGUGCACCAGGUGGCGGGGGGUAGCCCUCGGUACCGAAGCCAACGCAUUAAGUGCACCGCCUGGGGAGUAUGCUCGCAAGGGUGAAACUCAAAUGAAUUGACGGGG